rnacentral:rRNA from 1 species
GUGAGGAAUAUUGGUCAAUGGGCGGGAGCCUGAACCAGCCAAGUCGCGUGAAGGAAGAAGGAUCUAUGGUUCGUAAACUUCUUUUGCAGGGGAAUAAAGUGCGGGACGUGUCCUGUUUUGUAUGUACCCUGAGAAUAAGGAUCGGCUAACUCCGUGCCAGCAGCCGCGGUAAUACGGAGGAUCCGAGCGUUAUCCGGAUUUAUUGGGUUUAAAGGGUGCGUAGGUGGUUUGAUAAGUCAGCGGUGAAAGUUUGCAGCUUAACUGUAAAAAUGCCGUUGAAACUGUCGGACUUGAGUGUAAAUGAGGUAGGCGGAAUGCGUGGUGUAGCGGUGAAAUGCAUAGAUAUCACGCAGAACUCCGAUUGCGAAGGCAGCUUACUAAGCUACAACUGACACUGAAGCACGAAAGCGUGGGGAUCAAACAGGAUUAGAAACCCCAGUAGUCC